rfam:Triticum aestivum genome assembly, contig: Triticum_aestivum_CS42_TGACv1_scaffold_222178_3B
ACUGUACUCCCUUCGUCCGAAAAUACUUAUCAUAAAGAUGUAUCUAAAACUAAAAUACAUCUAAAUACAUUCCCUUUUAUUCAUUUUGAUGACAAGUAUUUUCGGACGUAGGAAGUAAAUU